GCAUGCGCAGUGGAAAGUUCUCUGCCCACGAUGGGAAGUUCUCUGGGCUAGUGGCCUCGUAGGCUCCUGCCUGGCCUGGCCUGGCCUGGCCUCUCUGAGGCCAUCUGAGCACCCACAGUGCCUGCAUAGAGCCCGGCAACCAGCAGGCCUAUGAUAAAUGCUCCCAAGCCCAUGAAUGGAUGGGACAAACCUUAGCUUCUCCACUGGACCGUUUCAUCUCUGAGUUUGUCCUAAUGUUUACCUAGGAGGACCCAGACCAUCCACCGGCAACCGGCCCAGGAGAAAAUGGUUCGAAAUUAACAAACUUUCCCCAAGCUCUCUUCCCCCCUCCCCCCCCACCUCCGUUCUUCCAGCACCGCCCCCCUGCCCCCCACCACGCACCGCUCCACACACAAAGAAACAAAAGCAAAGGCUGCUGGGGCCACAAAGGAUCUCAGAGCAUCCAGUCCAGCCCCCUGAGAGGCAGCAGAAGGCAUGAAUAUUCGCAAAAUGGGAUAAACACUACAAACAACUUUACAUCUAUUCAAGGUGGAUUUUGCUGCUAAAUGAGUUCACCACCAACUAAUGAAUUUCCAGGUCAGUGUUUGGCAGAUGAGGAACUGAGGCCGGGAGAGGCGAAUGCCAUGCCCAAGGGCACACAGUGGGGCGUGGCAGAGCCCAGGUGGAACCAGCUCUGCUUCCAACACCAAUGACUGCUCUUUGUACCAGACCCUAAAGCCCUCCCUUCCUUUAACCCUUCCGGAACCUCAAACUGAACUCCCCCCUGAGGACGGUCAGUACAGGGAACACUCGCAUUUCGUCUCUCUCUACCUUCUAUGUGCUCACCAGAGCGCAAAUUAAGCUCCCUGGGAACGUGGGCACCUAUGGAAGAAGCCACCUCCUCGUCCAAGUUGUUCACGUUCGAGAGAGAGAGUACAAGAGGUGUGCUGAGACCGACAGCCAGUGGGAUUCUACCUCCCGGAGAAAGGAACAGACCGGAAGGAGGGAAGGACACUGGAAGGAAAGCAGAGGACCUGGCCAAGUUACGGUUGGUGGCUCUUCUCUUUUCUCUGCUUGUCUGUGUUUCCUGAGUUUUCCACCCGGUACUACCGUAUUCUGUUUGCAAUUCUGUCGCCCGGAAGGGAGGCGGCAAAGCUCAACAGCAACAACAGAAACAAACAAAGCCACCAACUGCACACCCGGGCUCGACACUCCCGCCUGUGACGGACCUAUGGGCAUUUGUUUCCAACAAAUUGCUGGAUGCGGUUACAGUAUCUGAGUUUUUGUUUUGAAGGCAUCCCUAAGGGGAAGGCAUGUGCCUUUACCUGUUGAAAGAAUCAAGGAACAAAUGAACGAAGGUCUCUUCAGGAGGCAGGGAACCUGUCCCUCCCUCCAGCCCCCAUCAUCCCAUCCCGCAUGGCUCUUGUCAGCCUUGGCUCAUUCGGCUUAAAUUACAACCGGUCACACUCAAGGUCGGCUUCCCAACUGGGCUAAGUUCUUUCUACAAAGACAGUCUCCUGUGCCUCCCAGU